rnacentral:rRNA from 1 species
CCGGCACGGGUGAGUAACACGUAUCCAACCUGCCGUCUACUCUUGGACAGCCUUCUGAAAGGAAGAUUAAUACAAGAUGGCAUCGUGAGUUCACAUGUUCACAUGAUUAAAGGUAUUCCGGUAGACGAUGGGGAUGCGUUCCAUUAGAUAGUAGGCGGGGUAACGGCCCACCUAGUCUUCGAUGGAUAGGGGUUCUGAGAGGAAGGUCCCCCACAUUGGAACUGAGACACGGUCCAA